AUGAGGACGGACGUAAGGAGGGUCGUCACCAAAAGAAGAGGCAGAGUGCUGCGGGGAGAAAGGAGAGCAGCAACUGCCAACCAAGGGACGGACCUCCUGAGGCAAUGGGAAACUAUCACACCCCCACCAGGUAAAAGCCAGGAGGGCCCCACCCCCACACAGCUCCAGGUCACUGGGAGCAGCGACCCUCUGACAGCCCCACUGUCAGAUAUAGAAGCAGACAGCGUGGACCCUGGUCACAGCCCGAUGACACCGGAGCGGGAAAAUGGACCGAGUGAGGAGCUGAACAGCGACCUCAGCCCUGCGAGGGUCCAGCAGUUCGUGUUCUGUCCAGGUCCUCUCCCACCAACUCUUCUCCUAACUGUGAGCUCCAGUGAAGAAAUCGCAAGCAGCAAGUUUGCAACCAUUGUCUGUUCAAUCAUCGAUUUCCAUCCAAAGUCAAUCUCCGCGAACAGGAACUUCUCGGUGACGAGUCGGCUGAUGGUCCCUUAUGGUGAAUGGUACAACAGCGCAGUCUAUACCUGCCAGGUCACUCAUGAAGACAACGUUCAAAGUAAAAACAUCACCGCACUCCAGGAAGAUACCGAGUGCCACCCUAACACCGUUAAAAUCCUCCCACCGCCAGUAGAACAAGUCUUACUGGAGGCGACGGUGACGUUAACCUGCGUUGUGUCCAAUCUUCCUUCUGGAGUCAACGUGACCUGGAAACAAGAAAAGAAGCCUCUGAAAUCAGAGAUUGCUGACCAGCCUGGACAGAAUCCCGACAGCGUGAUCAGCAAAUUAGACAUUUCUACUGAAGCCUGGCUGAGUGGCGUUACUUUUGAAUGUGUGGUGUACCAUCAGAAUCUACCGACUCCGCUGAGAGACUCCAUCCACAAGGAGAAAGUGAUUAAUCCGCUGGAGCCAUCAGUGUCGGUCCUCCUGCCACCAACAGAAGAAAUCUCCGCUCAGAGGUUUCUCUCCCUCACCUGUUUAGUGAGAGGUUUCUCCCCCCGAGAGAUCUUCGUCAAGUGGACAAACAAUGACAAGCCGGUGAAUCCCAGUAACUACAAGAACACCGAGGUGAUGGCGGAGAGUGACAAUACUUCCUUCUUCAUCUACAGCCUGUUAUCCAUUACAGCGGAGGAGUGGGCCAGCGGUGCUUCUUACUCCUGUGUGGUGGGACAUGAAGCGAUUCCAUUGAAGAUCAUCAACAGAACAGUCGAUAAAUCCAGCGAUUCAAUAGAUAGCACUUGGAUUGAAGACUAUGAGGAUGAUAACAGCAACAUCUGGACAACUGCUUCCACGUUCAUCACCUUGUUCUUCCUGAGUAUUUUCUACAGCGCUGCCGUCACUCUGGUGAAGCGCCGCUCAACAACCGCUGCCACUGCCGGCUCUCGGCAAGGAACGUCAGGCGGGGGAAGGCAUUUACUGCGCAUGUUCCCUCCCAGGCCACCACCUACUGCGCAUGCUCUGGCCAAGAGCGGGAAGGUUAAACGGCUUAACGGAAAGUUCUGGAACGUGCUUGAGUAA